CUCCAAGUUGUUGGCCUGGCGGCCCUAUGUUGGGCUAUUUGGAAGCUCAGAAACAGAGCUUGUUUUGUGUUUAAGCUUGUAAGAUAUCCCGCUGAAUUUAUUUACUACGCUGUGUCUUUUAUGAAUUAUUGGGCAGCUUUGUAAAAUGAGGGGACUGAAAUGUUGGAACAAGGUGCGAUGACACUCCAGAGAACGGCACUGGUACAGUAUAAGGAUGGCAGGAGGGAGGGAGGAAAUGGCGCCUUGAUGAUCAUGGGAGAUGAUGGUUCAAGCAAUGAAUAUGAUGCAGAAGCUACGCGCAAGAUAUGGAGCAAGACUAAGUAA
rnacentral:rRNA from 1 species